rnacentral:rRNA from 1 species
AGCGAACGCUGGCGGCAUGCUUAACACAUGCAAGUCGAACGGGCCUUCCGUUUUUUGUGUCGGAUGGGUGACUAACGGGUGGGUAUGUGGUUUUAGACCUGGCCCCUGCUCGUGAAUCACGUGCUAAAACCGAAUGUGAUCCUGGGGGGGAAGAUUUAUCGGCAUUAGAGCGGCCGGCGACUGUUUAGCUAGUUGGUUGAGGUGAUGGCUCACCAAGGCGCCGCUCAGUAGCUGGUCUGAGAGGAUGAUCAGCCACAUUGGGACUGAGACACGGCCCAAACUCCUACGGGAGGCAGCAGUGGGGAAUCUUGCGCAAUGGGCGAAAGCCUGACGCAGCCAUGCCGCGUGAAUGAUGAAGGUCUUAGGAUUGUAAAAUUCUUUCACCGGGGACGAUAAUGACGGUACCCGGAGAAGAAGCCCCGGCUAACUUCGUG